AGUGAAAUUGCUGGAUCAUAUGGUAAGUUUAUGUUUAACUUUUUAAGAAGCUGCCAAACUGUUUUCCAAAGUGGUUGUAUCAUUUUACAUUCUCACCAGCAAU
rnacentral:pre_miRNA from 1 species